rnacentral:rRNA from 1 species
GACGAACGCUGGCGGCGUGCUUAACACAUGCAAGUCGAACGGAAAGGCCCUGCUUUUGUGGGGUGCUCGAGUGGCGAACGGGUGAGUAACACGUGAGUAACCUGCCCUUGACUUUGGGAUAACUUCAGGAAACUGGGGCUAAUACCGGAUAGGAGCUCCUGCUGCAUGGUGGGGGUUGGAAAGUUUCGGCGGUUGGGGAUGGACUCGCGGCUUAUCAGCUUGUUGGUGGGGUAGUGGCUUACCAAGGCUUUGACGGGUAGCCGGCCUGAGAGGGUGACCGGCCACAUUGGAACUGAGAUACGGCCCAGACUCCUACGGGAGGCAGCAGUGGGAAUAUUGCACAAUGGGCGGAAGCCUGAUGCAGCAACGCCGCGUGCGGGAUGACGGCCUUCGGGUUGUAAACCGCUUUCGCCUGUGACGAAGCGUGAGUGACGGUAAUGGGUAAAGAAGCACCGGCUAACUACGUG